rnacentral:rRNA from 1 species
AACGAACGCUGGCGGCAUGCCUAACACAUGCAAGUCGAACGAGACCUUCGGGUCUAGUGGCGCACGGGUGCGUAACGCGUGGGAACCUGCCCUUAGGUUCGGAAUAACUCCCCGAAAGGGGUGCUAAUACCGGAUAAUGUCUUCGGACCAAAGAUUUAUCGCCUUUGGAUGGGCCCGCGUUGGAUUAGCUAGUUGGUAGGGUAAAAGCCUACCAAGGCGACGAUCCAUAGCUGGUCUGAGAGGAUGAUCAGCCACACUGGGACUGAGACACGGCCCAGACUCCUACGGGAGGCAGCAGUGGGGAAUAUUGGACAAUGGGCGAAAGCCUGAUCCAGCAAUGCCGCGUGAGUGAUGAAGGCUUUAGGGUUGUAAAGCUCUUUUACCCGGGAUGAUAAUGACAGUACCGGGAGAAUAAGCUCCGGCUAACUCCGUG